rnacentral:rRNA from 1 species
UACAGAGGGUGCAAGCGUUAAUCGGAAUUACUGGGCGUAAAGGGUGCGUAGGUGGUUAGAGAAGUUGGGCGUGAAAGCCCCGGGCUUAACCUGGGAACGGCGUUCAAAACUAGCUAGCUAGAGUAUGGUAGAGGUAAGUGGAAUUUCCGGUGUAGCGGUGAAAUGCGUAGAGAUCGGAAGGAACACCAGUGGCGAAGGCGACUUACUGGACUGAUACUGACACUGAGGCACGAAAGCGUGGGGAGCAAACAGG